CGGCCCGCGCGUGGACCCCCGGGCAGCCCGGGGCCUUGGCGGGCUGUCCCUCCGGGGCCGGCGGUUCGCCCCUGCGCCGAGAGACCUCGUCAUCGGGGUUCCAGAGCAGCCUCAACUACAUCGCCAUCGACGUGAGGGACGAGCCACCACCCGCGCAGCACCCCCAGUCCGCAGACAAGAGCUCCUGGGGCCGGACCCGCAGCCUGGGGGGGCUCCUCGGCGCGGUGGGUGGCGGCGGCCCGGGCCCCAGUGCCCUGCCUGCCGCCAGCGCCUACGCCAGCCUGGACUUCCUGUCCCAUCACUUGAAGGAGGCCACCGCGGUGAAAGAGUGAAGCCCUGGUGGACCUCCACUGCACCUCAAGGUUGCACAUCGAGAAAAUUGUGCUCCGAGGAGAUGCUCAGCACGCCUCCAACCCAAAGCUGCUUUCAUGUUUCGUUCCCAUCUGAGUAACUCUACAUACAUUUUGAGACAUCUGUGAACUGUGUUAGACAAGAAGCCGACACCAUGAUCGCCUGCUGCCUCCCUCGCUGCCCCCUCUGUGGGGCAUCCAUGACUGUGCUGUGUGUGUUGCAUUUCGUUUUGUUUCAUAACUAAAUUAGCAGAUAAAGUUCUUCUCCAGCAAAUUGGAUGUUUCCAUUGGCCUUAAAUUGUGGCCAGAGUCUUAACUUCCUCUUCCUUUCGUGUUUUACAAAGCAGGGUGUACCCCUCAGCAUGCUGGGAGAUUCUCCCACACCCACUGGAGUGGUAAAAUCUGGUAUUGACUGGCUUACACUCAAAACUACCACAGUCCUACCUCAGUUCAAGGUAAAGCUGGGUUGCGGGCUGGUCACAGCAGGACCUUCUGCGAAUCCAUGUCCAGUGCAGCCCCCCACCUCCGGCGCCCGAGAAGACGCAGAGUCCAGCCAGGACCUGCCAGGACCGGCCGUGUUCAUGUGCACACAGAGCCUGGUGUGGGACUGAUGAUUCUCCACCGAGUGAAAUCUGGGACUGGACUUUGACGAUGGAUUCUAAGAAUAAUUAUUAACUAUAACUGAAGCAACCUACUUUUGAAGCUCAUCAAUCAGCUGGGUGGGGGCGGGUGGGGGCUAGAGGGCAUGACUUACCUCUUUGUAUCUUUGACUGGUGUAUCUAACCUUCUCUGUGUAGAUGUUUGUGUAGGUACUUCAAAUCGCAAAAGCCUUUUCUCCUAUCCACAAGCUCAGAUGUCUCUGCUGUCCUGAAUCUGGGCCUGCAUUUCUCUAACCAAAAACUCACGUAGGCAUGCUAGCAGCUCAGAGCUGGUCUAGGUUUGGCAGAUUUAACUUUUUAAAUGUAUUACCUUUAAUGCUAUUUUGUUGAUCAGUAAGGCUGCCCCAAACAGAGAGAGAGAGAAAGAGAGAGAGAGAGAGAGAGAGAGAGAGGAGUCAUUCCAGCCAUUGUGCAAUUAGAGAAAUGAGAAGAGAAGCGGUGCCGUCUCUCACAGUCUGUGUUGCUUGAUGAGGCUGAGGCUACCCUUGUUCUGUGUUUUCAGUGUUUCGAGAAUGUUGGCGUUGUGGCGAUUGUCACAGAUGUCACCUAGGACUGCUGAGCUUCCCCACAGAGUGUCUGUCAGCCUGCCACCCUGACACGUGGCAGGAGGCACCGCCCACCCCAGUGCCUGUCUCCCUGAUCGUCCUGUAGAGGCUGCACUAAUGCUUGGAGAUUGAGUUGUUGGUUUUUUGUUUUUUUUAAUUGGUUUUGUUGUUGUUGGAGAAAAUAUAUAUAAAUAUAUAGAGAUAUAUCACUAUAGAAUAAUGCAUUAAUUAAAUGAGGCUUUUUAGAGGAAGACCAAAAAAUUCAAUGUCUUAAAAAAAUAUAUGUAAUGGCAGUGCAAAAGUCUUCCUGCUUCUGUGUGAACCUUAGAACAGAGGAUUGUAUUGCAAGACAAAGUUGAAUGUAAAGUGAUCCCCGAGCAUUAAGGUUUUACUUUGCUGAGAUGACACAUCAUAGCAGUGCGUAGGCCAUACAUACCAUGUCAGUUUGAAGGUCAGUUUCAGUGUACGCUAUACUUUAUUAAGAUGUACAGAAUCUCCAGUUUUAUUUCGUUGUGGGACACUAGGAAUCGGCGGAUGGUACUUGCUCAGGGGCAGAGGACCGAACACAGGCCUUCCUGGUUGCAGUGCUAGAUGUGUAGGUUUUGACUCGAUCCAGAUGGCUCAUGUCCCUACUGCACCUGAAAAUGCCGAUGCUGUACUAAAUUCUCCUCUAUCCUGUACAUUUCAAAAAACAAAAGGCAUAUGCAAUAUUUACACUUUUAAUUUAGUUUACAGAAAUGAACCAAAAUGUAUAAAUGUUAUGUUUGCUAAAACUUCACACUGUAUAUUGGGUCUUUGUACAUUUUGCCUGACUUACCUUAAAUUUAAAAUAUUUUUUGCUAUAUAAACUUUAACAGUUAGUAAACAGUGUUUUCUUUUGGGUACAUAUUGUUUCUGGAUACGAAGAUGUUAAAUAUAUUUCUUGCUAUCGUGUUAGGAAGAGACUUGACUUCCCUCACCCUGUCUUCCAUGAGCGCUGUACAUAGGGCAGGUGUGGCGCUGCUGGAGACAAGGAUAAACUGGACUAGGGUAGUGCGUUGUAUUUUAGUCUGUACUGACCGUGGGUACCCUCCUUAAUAGCCAUAUGCAAUAAAAUAAAAUACAUUAUUUAUGAAACAA